UACGUAGGGUGCAAGCGUUAAUCGGAAUUACUGGGCGUAAAGCGUGCGCAGGCGGUUGUGCAAGACAGAUGUGAAAUCCCCGGGCUCAACCUGGGAACUGCAUUUGUGACUGCACAGCUUGAGUGCGGCAGAGGGGGGAUGGAAUUCCGCGUGUAGCAGUGAAAUGCGUAGAUAUGCGGAGGAACACCGAUGGCGAAGGCAAUCCCCUGGGCCUGCACUGACGCUCAUGCACGAAAGCCGUGGGGAGCAAACAGG
rnacentral:rRNA from 1 species